UGGAGGAAUUCGACGAUUUUGUCGUGCUACGCUUCACCCUUUUGCUGCUGCUCUUGUGAUUUUCCAGAUGGGAAAGGUUUCAUCAAUCUGGCAAAGUGAGGAUGGCAGAGGUCAGAAAUGUCCACCGAUGCCAGAGGACAUAUGAUGGAAGUGCCUCUUCACAGACUAUCACAGCGUAGACUCAUCUCUCCCGGCACACGCACCGAUGUGAAGUUACAGCCUUGGGGAAUACUGAACAGAUUGAAGCAGAGCGGCCUGUGCAGGCAGAGGACCACGAGAGACUGAACCCUGGCCAGGCGUGAGGAUUAUACCCCUUGGAUGUCAAAAUGAUGCCUCAAAACCCAACAUAUCAUGGAUCUCAAGAUUCAUUCAUCUGUUUAUUUGUUCAACAAAUAUUUGUCGAACUCAAGAAGCACAUAGUAAGUACUGUCGUAAGGAUCCGAGAUACGGGAGUAAAGCGAGCAGAAAAGAAAAAUCUCUGCUUAAUUUCUAGUGGGAAGGGAUAGACAACAAAUACGUAAAAGUCAGAGGUGGUAAGUGCGAUGAAAAACAGUAAGGCCGGGACAGGAGGCAGUGGUGAGGCAAAGGGAAUGCCAGUGUUCAGGAGGCCAGUGCAUUUUAAGACAUCAUAAAUUUUAAAAUAGCUUUGGGAGAAGAGAUUUAAAAGAAAAACCAAAAAAAAAAGUCUGUUACAUUCAAUGCACACACACACACACACACACACACGCAUAUAUAUUUUUAAACCGACUAUAGCAUACAUUGAUCAUUGCAUGCCACAUUUUUUUGUUGGUUUGAGGCUAAGAUUUUUCUCACACAC
rnacentral:lncRNA from 12 species